rnacentral:rRNA from 1 species
CUCAGAACGAACGCUGGCGGCAGGCUUAACACAUGCAAGUCGAACGCCCCGCAAGGGGAGUGGCAGACGGGUGAGUAACGCGUGGGAAUCUACCCAACUCUACGGAAUAACUCAGGGAAACUUGUGCUAAUACCGUAUACGCCCUUCGGGGGAAAGAUUUAUCGGUGAAGGAUUGGCCCGCGUAAGAUUAGAUAGUUGGUGGGGUAACGGCCUACCAAGUCGACGAUCUUUAGCUGGUUUGAGAGGAUGAUCAGCAACACUGGG